rnacentral:snRNA from 1 species
AUACUUACCUGGCAGGGGAGAUCCCAUGGUCACGAAGGUGGUUUUCCCAGGGUGAGCCUUAUCCACUGCGCUCUGUUUGUGCUGACUCCUGCGAUUUCCCCAAAUGUGGGAAACUCGACUGCAUAGUUUGUGGUAGUGGGGGAUUGCAUUAGCGCUCUCCACUG